rnacentral:rRNA from 1 species
AUUGAACGCUGGCGGCAGGCCUAACACAUGCAAGUCGAGCGAGCGGCGGACGGGUGAGUAAUGUCUGGGAAACUGCCUGAUGGAGGGGGAUAACUACUGGAAACGGUAGCUCAUACCGCAUACCAUCAGAUCUGCCCAGAUGGGAUUAGCUGGUGGGUGGGGUAACGGCUCACCCAGGCGACGCUCCCUAGCUGGUCUGAGAGGAUGACCAGCCACACUGGAACGGAGACACGGUCCAGACUCCUACGGGAGGCAGCAGUGGGGAAUAUUGCACAAUGGGCGCAAGCCUGAUGCAGCCAUGCCGCGUGUGUGAAGAAGGCCUUCGGGUUGUAAAGUACUUUCAGCGGGGAGGCGUUACCAGCAGAAGAAGCACCGGCUAACUCCGUGCCAGCAGCCGCGGUAAUAC